rnacentral:rRNA from 1 species
GAGUUUGAUCAUGGCUCAGGAUAAACGCUGGCGGCGCACAUAAGACAUGCAAGUCGAACGAACUUAACUCAUUCUUUACGAUUGAGAGCGGUUAGUGGCGGACUGGUGAGUAAUACGUAAGCAACCUGCCUAUCAGAGGGGAAUAACAGUGAGAAAUCAUUGCUAAUACCGCAUAUGCUAACAGUAUUGCAUGAUACAGUUAGGAAAGGAGCAAUCCGCUGAUAGAUGGGCUUACGCCUGAUUAGCUAGUUGGUGGGGCAACGGCCUACCAAGGCGACGAUCAGUAGCCGGACUGAGAGGUUGAACGGCCACAUUGGGACUGAGAUACGGCCCAGACUCCUACGGGAGGCAGCAGUCGGGAAUAUUGCGCAAUGGAGGAAACUCUGACGCAGUGACGCCGCGUAUAGGAAGAAGGUUUUCGGAUUGUAAACUAUUGUCGUUAGGGAAGAUAAAAGACUGUACCUAAGGAGGAAGCCCCGGCUAACUAUGUGCCAGCAGCCGCGGUAAUACAUAGGGGGCAAGCGUUAUCCGGAAUUAUUGGGUGUAAAGGGUGCGUAGACGGAGAGACAAGUUGGUUGUGAAAUCCCUCGGCUCAACUGAGGAACUGCAACCAAAACUAUUUCCCUUGAGUGUCGGAGAGGAAAGUGGAAUUCCUAGUGUAGCGGUGAAAUGCGUAGAUAUUAGGAGGAACACCAGUGGCGAAGGCGACUUUCUGGACGAUAACUGACGUUGAGGCACGAAAGUGUGGGGAGCAAACAGGAUUAGAUACCCUGGUAGUCCACACCGUAAACGAUGGAUAC